UUGACCUCAAAUCAGGUAGGACUACCCGCUGAACUUAAGCAUAUCAAUAAGCGGAGGAAAAGAAACUAACAAGGAUUCCCCUAGUAACUGCGAGUGAAGUGGGAAAAGCUCAAAUUUAAAAUCUGACAGUCUUUGACUGUCUGAGUUGUAACCUAGAGAAGUGCUACCUGUGCUGGACCAUGUA
rnacentral:rRNA from 1 species